rnacentral:lncRNA from 1 species
GUUGAUUUUGUCAGCGUGGAGGCUGGUGAGUCCUGUGUGAAUGCCAGGCUCGCAUCGUAUUAACCAGAAGCUGCAUUUACCUGGACCAUACAUCAGCCCGAGCCUGUCUCCAGUGAAGAGUUGUGUCGUGCUGGAGGGACCAUUCAUCACACCUGCCCAGCUUCUGGAGGCUCUCCUGGGCUUUGGUGUCUUAGGUCAGAGCUGUCACAAACAUCCCACAUUCACCUUGUCCCUGUGAGGGGAGGGAGCUCCAAGUACUCUCUGGCCUUGAGAAAUGGCCCCUGAUAUUCCAUUGCUUCAGCUAUGACAUCUCUGUAGCAUCACAAUCUAUGCAACUUGGAUAGAGAGAGGCUAUGGGUCACACCAUCAAAUCUGAUUGAAAUUCAUCUUCAAUCAAUCAUGUUGAUGUUGUAUCUGGAGCUGACCUGGAAGCCUGAAUAUUCCUGGUCUUAUUUACUUCUCACACCAACCCAGCUAUCCCCAUUUCAGGGAUUACAAAAUGGAGCACUGACUUGCUCAGGGUUACUUAUGCUGCAGAAAAGGGGCAGAUCCAGGGUCGGAACUUGGGUCUCUUGACUCCAACACCAGUGCUCGUGCCACAAAGCCAGCUGCCUCAGUGAGUGGCUUCCUGGCUGGAUGGCUGGUUUCUCAGGGUACUGACUUGCUUUGAAUGUCCUUUCUCCCUUUGCCUCCCCAGAGGGCGGCUUAUUUCUUUAAGCUCAAGAAGAGGGAAAAGAAAAAAGGAGACGGUGAAAUAAAUUUAUUGCCAUGUUAGAAACAUUGGAUUGAAGAAUUGAUCCCUACAGCUAAGUAAUUUCCCUCUUUCGUGCAAAAUAUAAAUAAAUCUGUAUGGCUUACGCUGAACGAUGCGCCCGGGCCGCCGGCUGGAUUUCACGACAUGAAAUGCCCUUCAGAGUCUUGGGCUUCCUCUCCUUGACCCCACCAACGAGGUGUUCUAAAUGGCCCUUGUGUUGUCCCUGAAGGAGGGAUGUUGGCAGCUCCCUCGUCUUGCCUGCUACAGUUGGGCAGACUUAGGGAUGUCUUGCAGAGUCCUUCCACAGCUCAGCUCGACCCUGGCAGGUGUGGCCCAGAACGGCUGAUUUCCAGAACCGUAAAUAUACCAGCUUAAUUAUUACUGUUAUUCUUUUCUCUAGGCAAAAGGGGAGGAGGUGGAGGGUGGGGGGUUGGUAUCUCAAGUGUGUGAUUAUGUAACACAGAGCACUCCUUUUCCCUAAAGGUUUCAUCUAAUUUCUGUUAAGAGAUGGCCAGUGUGGUGUGUCCAAAUUAAUCACGGGGGGAAGCUUUAGUCAUCCUGCUCUCGUUGUGGUUUAAUUUUAGCAUGUUUCCCUGGGGUAGCCCUCCUUCCCAGCCUCUACCUAGUCUUAGGUAAUUACAAGCCUGGAAAGAAAGAGGGAGUGUUG